AAUCUUCUACAUUGGACGUAAGUCUGAUGGAGCACCGCCGCUUAAUUGAAGAAGGUUUUCUGAUCUCAAAGCUCUGUUGUUAGGGAAGAACAAGUACAGGAGUCCCUGUCUGUACCUUGAUUGUACCUUUCCAGAAUGCCAAGGUUAAUUACUUGCAAGCAGCCGCUGUAAUACGUAGGUGGCAAGCGUUGUCCGGAAUUAUGGGGUGUAAAACGCGAGCAGGCGAUCCUUUAAGACUGAUGUGAAAGCCCACGGCUCAACCGUGGAGGGUCAUUGGAAACUGGAGGACUUGAGUACAGAAGAGGAAAGCGGAAUACAACGUGUAGCGGUGAAAUGCGUAGAGAUGUGGAGGAACACCAGUGGCGAAGGCGGCUUUCUGGUCUGUAACUGACGCUGAGGCGCGAAAGCGUGGGGAGCAAAAA
rnacentral:rRNA from 1 species